rnacentral:rRNA from 1 species
UGUGACGUUACUCGCAGAAGAAGCACCGGCUAACUUCGUGCCAGCAGCCGCGGUAAUACGAAGGGUGCAAGCGUUAAUCGGAAUUACUGGGCGUAAAGCGUACGCAGGCGGUUUGUUAAGCGAGAUGUGAAAGCCCCGGGCUCAACCUGGGAACUGCAUUUCGAACUGGCAUACUAGAGUCCUGUAGAGGGGGGUAGAAUUUCAGGUGUAGCGGUGAAAUGCGUAGAGAUCUGAAGGAAUACCGGUGGCGAAGGCUU